GGACCAUGGGAAAUUUAGUGAGUGGCUUAGAUUCCCUAAAUAAUACACUGGAGUACAUUAAACAUACCCACAUUUUGGAGGAGCAUAUAGUACCUAUUGGCUUCUAAAAACAUUUUAUUUUUUUAAAGAUUAGAUUAAAUCUUAGGGCAUUGUGCCAGGACUUCAGACAGCAGAGCACCAAGGUCAUUGCUGGCCUGAGGCCACACAGUGGGAGGGAGGCCAGGCAAGCUCAUGUUACACACUGCAUGUCGAAAAUCCUAAGUAUGAACUGAAUGCUCCUCUGUCCCCUCCUGGGUCAUACCUGUCUUUUCCUGGGUCACACCUGUGAAGACUGGCCAUUCUUAGAAGGAAAGUCCCAGCCCUGUCAGCACGCCAUUGAUCCACACACCAAUCCAGCUGUUGGUGUGAGCCCCACACCUCCCAGCACAGGCAGGUUCCUGGAGGUUAUGGACACAGCAGCCUCGGAUCCCAUAACAUGUGGGAGACAGUGAAGCACUGUGCUGUGAUCCCAACACCUGGCCUCACCCAAACUGUGCAUGCUGGGCAUUUCUGUUCUGCUGUGGCUUUCAACAACUUUGAAAAGCUCAAUAAACUCCUAAUAAGUAAGGAGGAAUGACUGGAUGACUAUUAGGCACAUAAAUACAGAAUAUGUGAGAAAAAUUAAAAUAUAAGUAAAAAUAUAAGUAAGAAAAAUGUAAGUAAAAAAACUCUUGUUUUUAGAGCAAUAAUUAUAAUUCAAUGCUUAGCUUGGGCUGAUUCCUGGAGCAUUUCAAAGUAUGCACAUAUACACAUAUAAAUAUUUAAGAUAUAUAUGCAUACAUGUACAUAAUUACAGAUACACACACACACACACACACACACACACACACACACAAUGCAAUAUCAAGGAAAAACAAGAGAACCGUGUAAGAGAGGCUCUGUAUCUACUACUACAUGGUAGGAUGCAAUAAGAAGGCACAGGGAUGGAUAAAGGGCAGCAUGGGGUUAUCCCGGGAGUAGUCAGGGAAAACUUUAGCAUGGGAUAAAGACCCAGACUUGGCCUAUGUGAGCAGGCAGGGAAGAAGUGUGCACCCGAGUACUAGACAAUCUCUAAGCAUAAAAGGAACAUGGCCGACUCAUGGGAAAGCUCAGAGAAGCCUCUGGACCCUUGGAGAUAAUAUAUAUAUUUAUAUAUACAGACACACACACACACACACACACACACAUCACAAGCUGGGUUCUGGAGGGCCUCACAGGGGGAGAAGUGAUGACAUCGGUUUGCACAGGAAGCGGGGAGCUCCUGGCAGCUUCACAGAAGAGGCGUGACAUGUUGACAGCGGUAAUUACAACCAAUUAAUCUGUAUAAUAGAUGCCUCCGAGACACUGCUGAGGGACUGGGGGCCUGUGAGCUGGAGGAACUGGGCAAUGAAGGAUUACAGAUCAGACACAAGGUCUAAGUUCAUAGUUCACAAAGGCCAGCUUGAGGAGGGCUGCACACCCACACUCCUGCCAGCCUCGAUCUGUGAGCAGAAGCACAGAGGAUUCAGCCGAUGCCUCCAGCACCAGGUGGGACGGCUGAAGAGAAAGGAUGCACAAUGCAGGUGGCAGAUGGUACUCUCUACAGCGUGUUCUAGAGACAGAGAACAGGAGUUCCCCAUUGCUCAGCUGACCACUGUGACACUUGAUAGAUCAAUUCCUAUGGCAACGGCUCUAAGCACAAUGCACUAAAAAUAAAACGUGUGUGUGUGUGUGUGUGUGGUUUAAAUAGAAGAUAGAUGCUUGUGAUUGUCUCCAGGGAGGUUGCAAGGGUCAGAAUGUGGCCACUGGCAUCCCGGGCCAUAGACAGAUUUCUCUUUCACUCUGUAAUUCCCAACUGGGCAUCUAAUCUGGCUAAAAAAUGGGAGAAAGUCUACAAUACAGAGCAGCUUUGAGAACCAACUGUCUGAGAAUACUGAUCACAAAGACUUAAAAACAAGCAACUUUCAAGUCUAAUGAUAGGGACUGUACUUCGUGGUGAAACCCUACACACCAUUCUUACUUGUAACAGUAAAGCCGAGGCAAGGGGAUGUUGCAAACAUAAAACAGUGCAACAUUUGUGAAGUUUUUGUUAUUUGAAUUCACAUAUGAAAUGGCACAGUUGGAGUUAAGAUGGUAGAAUUCAGGGGUUUGCUAAUGAAUGGACUGGCCAAACCUUGGCAUAAGUAAAAAUGCAGGUAUAUAAGAAACAUUGCAAGAAGAUGAACCAACGUAGAUGAUACAGUUUUUAUGUCAUGGGGAAUAGGAGUCAAAGGAAAUCACUUUUAAGGGGCCUAGCAUGAAUCCGUGCCAUGUGUACACAGUGAGUCCCUGUAGGAUGCUCUGAGGAGUGGGUCAGCUCAGCCUUUGCCCCUGGCAUCCUCCAGCAGGGACAGACAUGGCUUUCAGCUUGUGGAGUAAAAUGUUGCACUGUCAAAGCGGUAGGCACUCCCUCCCAUGACACACCUCCUGUUCUCAGCUGCCUUAUAUGACACUGCUUCUGUUGGGUGCCAGGCUCUAAAUGGCCUUCUGCUUAAAAGCAGGGUGACAGGCUGAAGAAAACUGUCAUUACUGAGAACUAUUUAAUCAUGUUGCCUGCUGUGUAUACCACUAUAUUACACCAUGAUAUACUAACCGUCCAUGACUAUGUAUAUAUGAUGCAUUAUGCAUGUGUGCAUGUAGAACCCUAACUAUAUAUGAUUUUACAUAUAGUAGUGUGGCUAUAACUAUGGUUACAUGGUGACUUUUAUGUAAUGUGAAUGUGCCACAUUCAUACACAACUGUCCCUUGGUAUCUAUAAGGGAUUAGUUCCAGGACACUCCUGAAUCCCCAAAUCCAUAGAUGAUCAACUCACUUCUAUGAAAUAUUUACAUAUAAAUAUUUGCAUAUGCAAACAUGAAAAGGAUCUACAUGGUGCCUCCUCUCCCUUAUGUUAAAUUGCCUCUGGAACACUUUAAAUACCUGAUGUAAGUAUACAUGCUUAUAGUUCAUGGCUUAGGGAACUCUAAAAAGAAAAGUCUAUCUAUGUUUGGAGGAUCCUUUCCCAGGAAUAUUCUUGAGCCAAGGGUGGUUGGAUGUACAGGCACAAGACACAUAGAGAUGGAGAGCCAACCACAUCAUUACGUCAGUAUGAGGUCAUCAUUCAAUAUCUAUCACCAUAGUUACAGAUAUCUAUCCAAACAUUCUCCUUAGUAGGCUAUGAAAGACACUGGGAGGUGUGCUCACUAAUGAGGUGAGCUGGGCAUGAAGACGUGAUUUUUCCCUGUGUGCCCUUCCUUUGGACCUUUUAAAUGCAAAAAAAAAAUGUGUGGAUAUGGGAAAUAAACCGUUACAGCCCUUAAUUAAGGUGCUAUCCACCCUGCACAUAGGAUAUAAAAAAGAAGCAAAAUGUUCCCCUUUUAUCUGAGCUAGAGCAAAGCCAGCCAGGUCCUGCUCUCCAGCCAUUCGUGCUCUCCUUACCCGUCCUUCCCAAGGCCUCUCCAAGCAGCUCAACCUGAAGCAGCUCACCAGGGGGCAGCAUUUACUGCUGGGUGAGCUGCUUCUACUUCUUGAUUUUACAUAGAGAUUAAUAAUUAAUGACAGCCCUGCCACCCAGAGUACCUUUCUGGGACCAAAGUCACCUGGAGAGUGUCUUCUCUGUCACAUGUCUCUGCCCUGGAGUCUCCAUAUAUCUUGGCUCAGGGAGUAUAGACUCUGAGCUGGGCUGGGCUGCAAGAGCCCUGGGGGGACUACAGGCCUCACACCUUGGAAAUCAUCUAAUAUUGCUGUAAGUUAAUAGGCUGCUUUUUCCUGUCAGUUUUUGUUGUUGUUGGUUUUUGUUGUUGUGGUGGUUGUAAUUUGUUUGUUUGUUUUAACCAUCUACCUGCUUUGAGAGGUCAUGAAAGCAGAGAGGAAGGCUGGCACAGCCUGGAGCUGGCAAAACAAGUCUCUUUAGCACAGUUCAACCAGGACCUGACACCUUAGUGGCUAACUGCCAUGGAUUCUUACCAAGAGCUUCCACCAUGUGGAGACUUUCCAGACAAUGAGGUAUUGUGUCCCUUAUCUACAAUGUCAUCGUUGGCCUGCAUUAAGCAGUCAUCA